AGAUGUGAGGAUGAUCUGGCUGUGACAUCUGUCACCCCAUUGAUUGCCAGGGUUGAUUUGGCUGAUCUGGCUGGCUAGGCUGGUGUCCCCUUCCACCCUCACUACUCCAUGCGCAUCCCUUCCAAAGCUGCGUUCUCAGUGGAAGAGGAUGACCAUCCCCAAUAAAGGAGGACCGAUCUUCUGUCAAGGGUAUAUGAGUAGCCNNNNNNNNNNUCCACCCUCACUACUCCAUGCACAUCCCUUCCAAAG
rnacentral:snRNA from 1 species